UACGAAGGGGGCUAGCGUUGCUCGGAAUCACUGGGCGUAAAGGGUGCGUAGGCGGGUCUUUAAGUCAGGGGUGAAAUCCUGGAGCUCAACUCCAGAACUGCCUUUGAUACUGAGGAUCUUGAGUUCGGGAGAGGUGAGUGGAACUGCGAGUGUAGAGGUGAAAUUCGUAGAUAUUCGCAAGAACACCAGUGGCGAAGGCGGCUCAUUGGCCCGAUACUGACGCUGAGGCACGAAAGCGUGGGGAGCAAACAGG
rnacentral:rRNA from 1 species